CCACCAACUAACCGUUGUCCCUCCACACCAGCGAAGGCGGCAGUCGGUUCAACCUCGACGGAAGAGAAAACGGUCGCGUUUUCGCUAAUAUCCAGCAACAAACCAACACAUUUCUACCACGUUUGAGCUUUAUUCGAGGACAAUCUUCUUUUUAUACAUCUAAGAAAGUGAUUCUUUUGAUAUAACGUUAGCGUUAUAGCGUUUACAUCGACGGUAUCGGAACAAAGGCUUCAAGCUCCAGUCGGCCUGCUCGUGGCAGAAAAUACAACAAUGGCAAAGGGAGAAGACUCUCACUUGGAGAUUGCUCACGUUAGUCAGAGCGAUGGUAUCAACGUCACCUUUGACCAGAAUUGCUCUCCAUCAUCUCGCUCCCGAUCGCGGUCCAAAAGCGACAGCGCUGGCCGCCACAGGAGGCGUAACAACCGCAAGGGAGUCCACAGGUCGUCAUCCCGCAGCAGGUCCUCCUCCCGCAACCGGUCCCGCUCUCACCCCCGUUGCCACAGACCUUCCUCCCGCUGUCGAUGUGACAACCAUCGCGGGUCUGGUCGUGUUUGCCGAUCCCCGCCACGGCGCCACAAGGACAAGUCAGGCUCACCGUCGCCCUCCAGACACUCCCACAACCGACGCAACAGGCCCCACUCCAGGCCAACCAGCCGUCGGAGCCGGCAGAGUAAGGAGGUGAGCAGGUUUUCCCAGUCCCCGGCCAGAAACAACAGCAGCAGCUCGCGGUCCGGAUCUUCAGAGCAUUCAGUCAACUUGAGUUUGGAUGAUAAAGAAAUCCCCAUCGAGGCUGAAGAGGCCGUUGCUACCAUGAUCCCAGGAGUGGAGAAGUGCGAACUUCCUGAGAAUGUGGAACCAAUCCUGUUGGAGCAGGCGGUGGAGCCCAAACGGGUGUUGACAGGGACAUGGGUGAGACAAGACCCUGAAAAGACUCCUUCACAGGUGGGUGUCUUGAUAGUGAUGGUCCGCUUCACAUUGAACACAAUACACACUUAAAAUAAGGCUUUCUCACAGAUUCUUAUUAAAAGCACAGCCGUUCUUUCCCCAUCUAGGACGACAGUUAAAUAUAAGAUAACAUGACAGUGGUCUCCUUCACUCAUCGGCACCUGGGAUUAAAGGGCUGUCAUGUGACUUAGGUGACAACAAUACGUGUUUGCGUGAAAGUUUAUCUGAUAAUCCUUGCAAUGUUCACAAAGUCUUAAGUUAACUAGAGGUUAGCAAUUAAACAAACACAUAUGCAGAUUAUCAGACAUGGUGCACACAGUCAAUAUAAAUGCUAAUACCUCACAUAGACGCUUCAUGAUCAAUUCAGAUAUUGUAUUACACUGACUCCACUUGAUAUAGAUAGGUAGUAGAAUUUUGACAUUUUCAAUGUAUUUAUGCUUGAAGUUGAAAUGGGUCGUUGUUAUUUAGCAGAAUCCUUCACUCGCUGAUGGAGCAAAGGCGUGUGGACUGCAUUAUAGUGACUAUCCCUGUCAAGAGAGCUAAAAACAGACGAAGAACUCUCCUCUCCGUAUUCCAAAGAUAAGUUGGUUCACCAGCCGUGUGCUGAGGGCUGGGAAACCUACGUCACCAUCAUUCUGCCACUGUAGACAGAGAAUACAUCCUUUUUUUUUUACUAUGAUACUUUUCGUUUCUUUUUGCAUUUUCUGUUUUGUUCCUUCUGUUUCAAUGCCUGUCCUUGUAGGAUGAUUUUAAAUGAUGGAGCCAAGUCUUUGACAGCAGUGGGUGGGGGGGGUGGGCUGUGUUGGUGUUGAAACAAACUUAAAUAAAUCACUAUGCAGUGCUUUACAAUAUUAGAAAUGGGAACUAUAAUCUAUCUAUAAUAAUGUAACAAACUGUCAAAGCACACAUAAUCAGUUAUACGCGCAUAUCUCACUAGGUAGGUUUUUCUUGUCUUUUUGAAACAGAGCGACGAAGAGCUUGAUGAUGUGUUCAGCACGAG